UCAAGCAAUAAGGGCACAGGGCGGAUGCCUUGGCACUAAGAGCCGAUGAAAGACGUGAUAAGCUGCGAUAAGCUUCGGGGAGGAGCAAAUAUCCCGUGAUCCGGAGAUGUCUGAAUGGGGAAACCCACAUGAGCAAACCUCAUGUAUCCUACAGCCAAUACAUAACUGUAGGAAGGGAACCCGGGGAACUGAAACAUCUAAGUACCCGGAGGAAAAGAAAGAAAACUCGAUUCCGUAAGUAGCGGCGAGCGAACGCGGAGGAGCCUAAACCAGAGUGCGUGCAUUCUGGGGUUACGGACUGCAUUUAAGAUUCAGUGAUGUUAACAGAACGGUUUUGGGAAAGCCGGCCGGAGAGGGUGAAAGCCCCGUACGUGAAAGCAGAGCUGACUGAGCAGGAUCCAGAGUACCACGAGACACGUGGAACCUUGUGGGAAAUCAGGGGGACCACCCCCUAAGGCUAAAUACUACUUAGUGACCGAUAGCGCAUAGUACUGUGAAGGAAAGGUGAAAAGGACCCCGGGAGGGGAGUGAAAGAGAACCUGAAACCCUGUGUCUACAAGCUGUGGAAGCACUUUAUAUGUGCGACCGCGUACUUUUUGUAGAACGGUCCGGCGAGUUACGCUUACUGGCAAGGUUAAGCACUUCAGGUGCGGAGCCGUAGGGAAACCAAGUCUUAAGAGGGCCAGAGUCAGUAGGAGUAGACCCGAAACCGGGUGAUCUAUCCAUGUCCAGGUUGAAGCUGCCGUAAGAGGUAGUGGAGGACCGAACCCACAUCCGUUGAAAAGGGUGGGGAUGAGGUGUGGAUAGGGGAGAAAUUCCAAUCGAACCCGGAGAUAGCUGGUUCUCCUCGAAAUAGCUUUAGGGCUAGCCUCGAUACAGAUUUGCGGAGGUAGAGCACUGAAUUUCCUAGGGGGCGUCAAAGCCUACCGAAGAAUAUCAAACUCCGAAUGCCGCGUAAUCGAUUAUCGGGAGUCAGACUGCACGAGAUAAGUUGGGCGGUCAAAAGGGAAAGAGCCCAGACCUUCAGUUAAGGUCCCAAAGUGUACGUUAAGUGGAAAAGGAUGUGGGAUUUCGAAGACAACCAGGAUGUUGGCUCAGAAGCAGCCAUUCAUUCAAAGAGUGCGUAAUAGCUCACUGGUCGAGAGGUCCUGCGCCGACAAUGUCCGGGGCUGAAACGCGCCACCGAAACUAAGGAACCGAAAGGUUGGUAGAGGAGCAUUGCAUGCGGGAAGAAGCAGUACCGUAAGGAGCUGUGGACUGCAUGGAAGAGAGAAUGCCGGAAUGAGUAGCGAGAAUAAGGUGAGAAUCCUUAUGGCCGAAUAUCCAAGGUUUCCAGAGUAAAGCUGAUCUGCUCUGGGUAAGUCGGGGCCUAAGGCGAGGACGAGAGUCGUAGCCGAUGGACAACAGGUGGAGAUUCCUGUACUGCGGUAUGACAGAACUGUGGGGACACGUAAGGAAAGCGGAAGCCGGGAAUGGAAAGCCCGGUGCAAGCGGGGUACCAGCCACUUUGGCAAAUCCGGGUGGCAAUGGGAAGCCGUGAUGCGGAGCGAAAUAAAGUAGCGAAGUCCGUGAGCCAUGCGUCAAGAAAAGCCGCUAUUGUUUAUACCGUACCCGUACCGUAAACCGACACAGGUGGAUGAGGAGAGAAUCCUAAGGCCGGCGGAAGAAGCAUUGUCAAGGAACUCGGCAAAAUGGCCCCGUAACUUAGGGAUAAGGGGUGCCUGGGAAACCAGGCCGCAGAGAAUAGGCUCAAGCAACUGUUUAGCAAAAACACAGGUCUAUGCGAAACCGAAAGGUGAGGUAUAUGGGCUGACGCCUGCCCGGUGCUGGAAGGUUAAGAGGAGAGGUUAGCGCAAGCGAAGCUUUGAAUUUAAGCCCCAGUAAACGGCGGCCGUAACUAUAACGGUCCUAAGGUAGCGAAAUUCCUUGUCGGGUAAGUUCCGACCCGCACGAAAGGCGUAAUGAUUUGAGCACUGUCUCG
rnacentral:rRNA from 1 species